rnacentral:rRNA from 1 species
UACGUAGGGGGCAAGCGUUGUCCGGAUUUAUUGGGCGUAAAGAGCGUGUAGGCGGCCAUACAGGUCCGUUGUGAAAACUGGAGGCUUAACCUCCAGACGUCGAUGGAAACCGUAUGGCUAGAGUCCGGAAGAGGAGAGUGGAAUUCCUGGUGUAGCGGUGAAAUGCGCAGAUAUCAGGAAGAACACCUAUGGCGAAGGCAGCUCUCUGGGACGGUACUGACGCUGGGGUGCGAAAGCAUGGGGAGCAAACAGG